UCUGGAUGUGGCGCAGCUUGGCUAGCGCACUUGCAUGGGGUGUAAGGGGUCGGAGGUUCGAAUCCUCUCAUCCAGAU
rnacentral:tRNA from 1 species